ensembl:lncRNA
GACAGAGAGACAGAGAACGAGAGACGGGGAAGGUGAGAAGUCGAGAGGGGGAGGCCGAACAGGGGAGGCGUGAGGUCGCACCAUCACGGACUGCAUGUGACAACAGCCACGCCUGUCCUGUCACCGGUCACGUCCCCCCGCCUGGCACCGGGCAGUAUCGGGGCGGCGGAUAACGUUAUGUCAGUUUUUACCAUGGCAACCGCUGGUCCCGUGUGCUACGUAUAGAGCUACUGUUACCCUCUGUUUCACAACACUGUCUUCUGUCUUCUCACACAUGCGCACGGACACUCAAUUGCAAACACAUGUUCACACACACACACAAACACACACACGUUCACACAACAACAUACCAUCACACACCUACCUGCACAAGUGGUGCAGGCACUUUGCACGGACACAUCCUAACCACCUGCUCACACACACACACACACACACACACACACACACACACACAAACACCUCUACAACGACGCACAUCCAUCAACACCCAACCUAUACAGCAUGUUAAUUUGGUGAGGUGCAGAUUAACAUAAAUAUUGACCCAUUAUGAGCAUCCCGCUGCCUUACAAAGGGGCCUGAGGCCUCUUGAGAGGCCACUUAAAGGGUCUGACGUGGGCUGUGGAAGUGUCCCGGUGCUCUUAACAUCAUCUGCUUCUAUUUAAUAUUAGUCAUGUGGCCAACCCAGUGGGAUCUGUGGCAUCUGUGGCUCUCAUUGUUUCCCAACAAAGACAGACAGGUGGCCUGGCCAAUAGCUGCAUAGAGUGAGGCGGCGGUGGCCGGAGCUCAUAGACUGUAGGAGCAUUUUCCUGGCAAGGGAAAUGAAAAGGAGACCAGCUUAAUGCAUUCUGAAUGCUGUAGUGUUUCAAUGUGAAAUAUUCAUGUGAUUAAAUAUUUUAUUGUGAUAUGCUGAAGUGGAAUAAUAAAAUAUGAAAAUAAAACACGUUCACAACAAACUGAGCUGGGUUUGGCUUUCUGCACACGGGGAGACAUUUUUUAAUUUGUCAAACUGGGUUUCUCAAAUGUGUCAUAAAUAAUGGUUUUUGAGAGU